UACAGAGGUGGCAAGCGUUGUUCGGAAUUACUGGGCGUAAAGGGCGCGUAGGCGGUCUUUUAAGUUCCGUGUGAAAUCCCUCGGCUCAACUGGGGAACUGCACGGGAAACUGGAAGGCUUGAGUUCGGGAGAGGGAAGCGGAAUUCCGGGUGUAGCGGUGAAAUGCGUAGAUAUCCGGAGGAACACCGGUGGCGAAGGCGGCUUCCGGGACCGACACUGACGCUGAGGCGCGAAAGCUAGGGGAGCAAACGGG
rnacentral:rRNA from 1 species